rnacentral:lncRNA from 1 species
AGAUAUGGAUUUAUCAAACUAAUGUCAUAAAGGGGCAUUAAGCUUGGCAUAUAUGUGGACUUAAUAAAUGUAACAUACCAGAUUUUAAAUAUAAAAGAAAAAAAAUAAAUAAAAAUAAUAUGAGAUACUAUUUUAUUGGAUUUAGAGAAGUGAAAUAUCGGUUGGAAACGACCUGUGCUGAAAUCGGAGCGAAAACAGAAGAUUUAGAAUUUUCUGUGAGAAACAGGGCAGAUAAAUUAGCAGAAAAUGCACAGUCUCAGAAAAUUAUGAAAAUUGGCGAGGAUGUCAAAAAUAUUUUAAUGAGGCUAAAUUUAAAGUUUCAUAUUUUUCUGACACCUGUAGAGUGAGAAAUAAAAUCCGAAAGCCAUCUGAUAAAGAUUGCAGUUCGGUACAGUUUUCAGGGACCAAACGGGGUCGAAACUGAAAUAUUAAAAUUUCUUUGGACUUAUUAAGUAAAACCGAACAUGCCUGUCAAAUUUGAGUUCAAACGGACGUUCAGAAGGGCUCCGGCGAAAAAUAAACUGCCCGAAGUGAAUAGUGCGUAGUUGAGGGGCAAAAUGGUAAAAAGGGUUUAAAACCCCUUUUCUUCUUCUCCUCCCAACCGUGGCUGCCCCAACCCGUGCACACCCACGACACACACCCACACACGCAUGGAAGGAGAAGAGAAAACCCUCUCUUUCUCUCUCUAAAUCUCUCCCAAAAGAGGUGAAAUUGGUGGAGAAGAAGCUUGGAGGGAUCAUCAACACCAUCAUCUUCUUCUUCUUCAUUUUGGAGCAAGCUCUUGGAGGUAAGCUCCUUACCCAUUAAUGGUAGAUCCUUAAUGGUUGGGUUAAAUAGCUUAUAAAUGGAUUUAGAGGAAUCCUAGCAUGCUAUCUAGAUGAAUGAUGCUUCAAUCAUGAAUCAAUUUGGUGAUUUCUUGCAUAGUUGUAACCUAGGGCUCCAAAAUGCUAAUUUUCAAAAUAUGAGGGUUUGAUCUAAUUUGACCCUCCGUAAACAUAAUUGCUAGGUAACGAAACGCGUUGGCGAAGACGGUUCGGCAAUCCGACGAGCCGUUACAAAGUUAUUAAAGAAAUAGACGUUUAGGCUUCGGGUCCGCCGGGAGGGCCGAGGCGACGUCGUAAAAUCAUGAAAAUGGAUUUGAGGCAUCGUGGCACAUAACCGAAGACCUAUAAUUUUCGGGGCUGCAAAGCGGAGCACGGUUGAGGCGCAGUUGCAGUAUCGGGCCGUAACGGAUACGGGUGCCGCGGGAGGCCGAUUGCAAGUGUCGACAAGCAAUCGGAACGCGAAUUAAAGUGGGUUGUGUUUACCGAAGCGACUAGGUCACCUUUAUGUCUAAGAAACUAAGAAUCCAUGUUGAUGCAUAUAAAUGUAAAUGAAGCAUGUAAAUGAUGCAUGUAACUAAAUAAUGCAUGUUGAUAGUAUGAUGUAAAUGCUAAAUAGAAUGCAUUAAGAGCAAGUUACAUAAUGCUAAAUAAUGUAAUGUAGAAAUGCUAGAAUGCAUUAUGAGCAAGUUACAUAAUGCUAAAUAAUGUAAUGUAGAAAUGCUAGAAUGCAUAAUGAGCAAGUUAUAUGAUGCAUGUUUAUAAUAUGAUGUAAAUGCUAAGUAGAUGCAUAUAAAUGAUAUAUGAGAUUAUAAACGCAUGAUUAGCAUUAUGAGAUCAUAGAUGCAUACUUAGCAUUGUGAGAUUAUAUAUGCAUAUGAACUUGGUUGAUAACUCUAGCUUGAUUAGAGAGAUAAUAUUGGAAAAUGAGAAUUGAUAACUCUAGAAUGAGUAGAAUGCUUAAUUGGACAAUUAGUAUGUGAAUUAGAUCGAGUGGCAUCUAACUUAGUGUUAAGGAACAUAGGUCGUGAGUAGACCUAGAAUCAAAUAGAUCGAGUGGCAUCUAACCUAGUGUUAAUAAACAUAGGUCGUGAAAUGAAAAGUACUUAACCUAGAGUCAAGUGAACCUAGGUUGGAAAGAAUAAUGAUCCUAGUGUAAUAACCUAGGUUAAGAAUGUGAAAGCAAUAAACCUAAUGGGUGAACUUAGGUUGAGUAAAGGCUUAAACCUAGAGAGGUCAGUUCCAUAGGGUUAAGACCAACCCCUAUGUGAUGUGAAAUGGAUUCCGGAAUCCCAAGGCUAAAAGGAUACACCCAAAGUGGUGUCGGGUGUGUGCGACGAUUUCGCCGCCCAAGGGCUAAUUAACCAUUGUCGUGGCGUGUGCGACGAUUUCGCCGCCGGAUGGUUAGCCAGUUUGUGGAUCCUACCGCCUGUUGACUGAAUCACUAUCGUGGCGUUUGUGCGACGAUUUCGCCGCCGGGUGGCUAAGUCAUGGACCUAGGCCGUUGUUGGGUGAGGUGCGAUUCGUUCGCCGCCAGACGGCUAGGACAGGAGUACGGUGAGCUGUUGCCAGCUGAGGUGCAUGUGAGAGUUCCUUCACCUCGAGCUAGACAGUGCGCGGACUAUCCGCGAUUGAUUGACUCAAGACCGAGUCGUGUGGCAUAGAGAACUAAGGUAAGAGAAACCUUAGGAAAGAAUGGCCAGUAGAAAAGUGCGACAAAGUGUAAAGAAUAAAGAAUAAGUAAAGAAUAAAGAUCGGCUAAGGAAUAAGAAUAGCUGAUAAGUAAAGAAAAGUUACAAGUAAAGAAUAGCUAAGAGCUAAAAGUAAACAUUAAAUGACAAUAGUAAAGAAUGAUUAAGAAUAUAAGUAACGUUAAAGUAACCUACUUGCAUGAUUACAGGUAUUGCAUAUUGCAUUUCGUGAGGCAUGACAUGUAUUUCAAUUGAAUAUAUAUAUCUGUUGUAUAUUGUUGAACUAACAUGUUGCAGUGCCUCGUUAGACCUGUUGGUUGAGCUGGUUCUCUUGGGUGGCUAAACCCACUGAGGACUAUGGACAAUAGUCUCACCCCCGUGUUGCUGUUUUGGGGGUACAGGUACACACGUGUGCGGCGCGGCAGCGCAAGGCGAGGACGUAGUUCUGCAGAUAGCGCCCUACCCCAGAGACCAGAGCUAGCAGUACCCCGUCUAUAUAGCUUAGGGGUAAAGGAAAUGAAAAGAAUACAAUGUAUCAAACUUGUAGUAAGUAAAUGUUGUAAUAACUUAGAUUGCAUUUGGAUGAAAAGGAAUGAAAACUGUGAUGUAAAAACCAUGAAAGUGAAUGAAUGUAAUAACUUAGGAUGUGUUUAUGUUGUAUGAUACCUUCCACUUGCAAUCUUGAUUGAUAUCUGUUCCUGGUUGGAACCUUCGUGAAUUGUAUUGAUUGCGAUGCCUUGAAUGUACAGGGGAGACUUUGUCCGUAGUACAGGGGAAACCCUGUCCAUUCGGCGAUGUCGGCGGCGCUGGGACCUCGGCCAAAUAGGCGGGUGGUCGCGGGCUGUGACA